CAAGAAGACCCUAAGAAUUUUUAAAAAAUUAAAGUUUUAUAAGAUUUUAGUUUUUUUAAGUUGGGGCAACUAAAAAAUAUUGUAAACUUUUAUAUUAAUAAAAUGAUCCAUUAUUAAUGAUUAUUUGAAAAAAAUACUCUAGGGAUAACAGCGUAAUAAUUUUUGAUAGAACAUAUAGACAAAAUAGUUUGCGACCUCGAUGUUGGAUUAGGAUACUUUUUUAAUGGAGAUGUUAAAAAAAGAAGUUUGUUCAACUUUUAAAGUCCUACUUGAUCUGAGU
rnacentral:rRNA from 1 species